AUUGAACGCUGGCGGCAGGCUUAACACAUGCAAGUCGAGCGCGAGGCGGACGGGUGAGUAAUGUCCGGGAAACUGCCUGAUGGAGGGGGAUAACUACCGGACACGGUAGAUAAUACCGCAUACCAGCAGAUGUGUCCAGGUGGGAUUAGCUAGUAGGUGGGGUAAUGGCACACCUAUGCGACCAUCCCUAGCUGGUCUGAGAGGAUGAUCAGCCGCCCUGGAACUGAGCCACGGUCCAAACUCAUACGGGAGGCAGCAGUGGAGAAUCUUGCACAAUUGGCGCAAGCCUGAUGCAGCCAUGCCGAGGGUGGGAAGGAGGCCUUCGGGUUGUAAAGCACAUUCAGCGGAAGGGAGUUACUCGAAGAAGAAGCACCGGCUAACUCCGUGCCAGCAGCCGCGGUAAUAC
rnacentral:rRNA from 1 species